rnacentral:lncRNA from 1 species
GCGAACAGUCUCCGGGCUCCUCCCCUGUGAGAUAUUUCACAGUUUCACCCGCAGAGGGCAAUCUUAUUCCAAGUUCCUGAGCGCCCUAGGCCUCUCUCUCCUCCCUAACUGGUGAGGUGGGACUUCGUCAUCUUCCAGGUUUACAGUGUUUUCCUCCUCAUGAAUUCUGUUUCCUCCCGGUCUCAGGCACUCGGCAUUUCCAGUCGAUCCAGCAGGUUUCUCCCCUACAAAGCCUGCUUGCUGCAGGAUACGAGAGUUCAGUCACUCCUUGGGAACUGUCUGCAGGUGAAAACAUUUUGGCUUAUUGCUCCCCUUUCUGGAAAGUCCUUUCCCUUCCUCUCUGCCUUAUGA